rnacentral:misc_RNA from 1 species
GGGAGAUCCACCAUUCUUUCCCGCUGACUCUUUUUGUGCAUCACACCGCCCGAUUAGACCAUCAGACAUUGAAACAACUCAAGCAGUGGACUUGGCAAUUCGUUAUAAUCCGGCCAGUAUGCUCGAUUCUGAUGAUCUCAUGUCAACUUCUUGGAAUCUACAAUAAUUUCCUCAGUUGGACUUUCACCAUGGUAUUGAACAUCUCGGUUUCUCUCGCAUUGUAUGCUUUGGUUGUCUUCUACCAUGUCUUUGCCAAGGAGCUUGCGCCUCACAAGCCUAUGGCGAAAUUUUUGUGCAUCAAGGGGGUUGUCUUCUUUUGCUUCUGGCAGGGAAUUGCACUUGAGGUGUUAACAUCAGCGGGGGUUAUACGAUCGCAUCAC